rnacentral:rRNA from 1 species
UACGAAGGGGGCUAGCGUUGUUCGGAAUCAUUGGGCGUAAAGGGUUGGUAGGUGGUCUCAUUUGUCUGGGGUGAAAGCCUUGAGCUUAACUCAAGAAGUGCCCCGGAAACGGUGAGACUAGAGUCUUGGAGAGGGUCGUGGAAUUCCCGGUGUAGCGGUGAAAUGCGUAGAGAUCGGGAGGAACACCAGAGGCGAAGGCGGCGACCUGGACAAGUACUGACACUGAACAACGAAAGCGUGGGGAGCAAACAGG